AGUUUAAUUUUGGACCCUUUGGACCUUAAUGUAGACCAAUUUAAAAAACGGGACUUAAAAUUAAAAAUCUAAAUACACGGUUAGAUUUGGAAUAUCAAAGAACCCCAAUAAUUCAAUUUUUGAUGAAAUCAAACAAAGUUUAAUUUUGGACCCUUUUGACCUCAAUAUGAACCAAUUUGAUAGCGGGGCCCACAAAUAAAAAUUCUAAAUUCAUGGUUAGAUUCAGCAUAUCAAAGAACCCCAUAUAUUCAAUUUUUGUUGAAAUCAAAAAAAGUUUAAUUUUGGACCCCAACUUGGACCAACUUGAAAACUGGGCCCAUAAUCAAAAAUCUAAAUACAUGUUUAGAUUCAGCAUAUCAAAGAACCCCAAGAAUUCAAUUUUUGUUAAAAUCAAACUAAGUUUAAUUUUGGACCCUUUGGACCUCAAUGAAGACCAAUUUAAAAAACGGGACCCAAAUUAAAAAUCUAAAAACACGGUUAGAUUUGGCAUAUCAAAGAACCCCAAUAAUUCAAUUUUCGAUGAAAUCAAACAAAUUUAAUUUUGGACCCUUUUGACCUCAAUAUGAACCAAUUUGAUAGCGGGGCCUACAAAUAAAAAAUCUAAAUACAUGGUUAGAUUCAGCAUAUCAAAGAACCUCAUAUAUUCAAUUUUUGUUGAAAUCAAACAAAGUUUAAUUUUGGACCCCAAUUUGGACCAACUUGAAAACUGG